CCCGCUGAACUUAAGCAUAUCAAUAAGCGGAGGAAAAGAAACCAGCAGGGAUUACCCUAGUAACGGCGAGUGAAGCGGUAACAGCUCAAAUUUAAAAUCUGGCCUUCACGGGUCCGAGUUGUAAUUUGUAGAGGAUGUUUCGGACAAAGCUGUGGUUUAAGUUUCUUGGAACAGAACGUCACAGAGGGUGAGAAUCCCGUCUAGAACCGAGGGCCGCGUCCAUGUGAAACACCUUCGACGAGUCGAGUUGUUUGGGAAUGCAGCUCAAAAUGGGUGGUAAAUUUCAUCUAAAGCUAAAUAUUGGCCAGAGACCGAUAGCGCACAAGUAGAGUGAUCGAAAGAUGAAAAGUACUUUGAAAAGAGAGUUAAACAGUAUGUGAAAUUGUUGAAAGGGAAGCGCUUGCAACCAGACUUGUGUGUGGCGGUUCCCCCGGUCUUCUGACCGGGUUAUUCUGUCACAGCCAGGCCAGCAUCGAUUCAGGUGGCCAGUUAAAGGCUCUGGGAAGGUAUCUACCCUUCGGGGUCGACUUACAGCCCAGGGUGUAAUGUGGCCUACCUGGAUCGAGGAACGCGCUCUUUGCCCGGAUGUUGGCGUAAUGGUUGCAAGCGGCCCGUCUUGAAACACGG
rnacentral:rRNA from 1 species